rnacentral:misc_RNA from 1 species
CCAAACUUGGUCAUUUAGAGGAAGUAAAAGUCGUAACAAGGUUUCCGUAGGUGAACCUGCGGAAGGAUCAUUACAGAUAAUUUUCAAAAAUAAAUUGGGUUGAGUUGUUGCUGGCUUUUUUGAAAGAGAAGCAUGUGCACACUUUACUUCAGUUUUUUUGAUCACCUGUGCACCUUGUGUAGAUUUUGAACAUUUUUGUUUCUCAGCGAGGAUGAAAACUUCUUUUCUGGAUUGAGAAGAUGUCUCAAUUAGCAAAUAGAGGGCUCUUCUUGUAAAGUUCAAAUCUAUGUUAUUUUUUUUAUAUAACACAUUGUUAAUAGAAUGGUUAACAAAAAUUAGAAUUGUAAAAACAACUUUCAACAAUGGAUCUCUUGGCUCUCGCAUCGAUGAAGAACGCAGC